AUUGAACGCUGGCGGCAGGCCUAACACAUGCAAGUCGAGCGGAUGAAGGGAGCUUGCUCCUGGAUUCAGCGGCGGACGGGUGAGUAAUGCCUAGGAACCUGCCUGGUAGUGGGGGAUAACGUCCGGAAACGGGCGCUAAUACCGCAUACGUCCUGAGGGAGAAAGUGGGGGAUCUUCGGACCUCACGCUAUCAGAUGAGCCUAGGUCGGAUUAGCUAGUUGGUGGGGUAAAGGCCUACCAAGGCGACGAUCCGUAACUGGUCUGAGAGGAUGAUAAGUCACACUGGAACUGAGACACGGUCCAGACUCCUACGGGAGGCAGCAGUGGGGAAUAUUGGACAAUGGGCGAAAGCCUGAUCCAGCCAUGCCGCGUGUGUGAAGAAGGUCUUCGGAUUGUAAAGCACUUUAAGUUGGGAGGAAGGGCAGUAAGUUAAUACCUUGCUGUUUUGACGUUACCAACAGAAUAAGCACCGGCUAACUUCGUG
rnacentral:rRNA from 1 species